rnacentral:tRNA from 1 species
UCCCUGGUGGCUCAGAUGGGAGAGAAAUCUGCCUGCAAUGCAGGAGACCCAGGUUCAAUCCCUGGAUUGGGAG